rnacentral:rRNA from 1 species
UACGUAGGGGGCGAGCGUUGUCCGGAAUUACUGGGCGUAAAGAGCUCGUAGGUGGUUUGUCGCGUUGUUCGUGAAAACUCACAGCUCAACUGUGGGCGUGCGGGCGAUACGGGCAGACUGGAGUACUGCAGGGGAGACUGGAAUUCCUGGUGUAGCGGUGGAAUGCGCAGAUAUCAGGAGGAACACCGGUGGCGAAGGCGGGUCUCUGGGCAGUAACUGACGCUGAGGAGCGAAAGCCAGGGGAGCAAACGGG